UUUUGAGCUCACUAAAACACUUUUCUCAUACUUUCAAUUUGAAGAAGACCAUCUUAAAUUCAGAAAAACCAAAAACAAAAAAAAAAUAGAAUUCAAAAAUCAAAAAUAGGAACUACUGUUUCAUUGAGAUCCAAGUUUAAGUUCAAGUCCUUUUGAGUAUUUGAUUAGUUCAUUUGAUAGCUAUUGGUCGAUUUCGAGGCGUAAUUUAUUGGUGGAAUUUUCUGGGUUGGUUUGAGGCUAUUUGAGUUUGCGUUGUGGUGUUAUCUGGGCUUCUAAAAAAAAUCCUAGGUUUGAGGCAUUCUCUUGGCUGUUUUAUUUUACUACUAGAGUUAAUUCUAUCACUCAUAUUGUGGGAAAUUAGUUGAUUGUUGCUGUUGUUGCACUGAUUCGCUGACCUCCUCUUCUUCUUCUUUGAAUCCUCAUCAUCCAGGAACUUGUUCGAAAUUGGCUAGUGUGCGUUGUUUGAAUUGAAGCUGGAAUGAAAUGGCUCGUAUGGAGUUUCGUGCAUUAGAAUUGUUUGUAGAGUUGUAUAUCUG
rnacentral:lncRNA from 1 species